rnacentral:rRNA from 1 species
UACCAGCACCCCGAGUGGUCGGGACAAUUAUUGGGCCUAAAGCAUCCGUAGCCGGUCAUGCAAGUCUUCCGUUAAAUCCAGCCGCUCAACGGUCGGGCUGCGGAGGAUACUACGUGGCUAGGAGGCGGGAGAGGCAAGCGGUACUCAGUGGGUAGGGGUAAAAUCCUUUGAUCCAUUGAAGACCACCAGUGGCGAAGGCGGCUUGCCAGAACGCGCUCGACGGUGAGGGAUGAAAGCUGGGGGAGCAAACCGG